UACGUAGGGUGCGAGCGUUGUCCGGAAUUACUGGGCGUAAAGAGCUCGUAGGUGGUUUGUCGCGUUGUCCGUGAAAACUCACAACUCAAUUGUGGGCGUGCGGGCGAUACGGGCAGACUAGAGGUAUGCAGGGGAGAACGGAAUUCCUGGUGUAGCGGUGAAAUGCGCAGAUAUCAGGAGGAACACUGGUGGCGAAGGCGGGUCUCUGGGCAGUAACUGACGCUGAGGAGCGAAAGCGUGGGGAGCGAACAGG
rnacentral:rRNA from 1 species